AGUGAACGCUGGCGGCAGGCCUAACACAUGCAAGUCGAGCGGCAGCGGGUUCCCGCGAGGGGAUGCCGGCGAGCGGCGGACGGGUGAGGAACACACCGGAAUCUGCCUGGUUGUGGGGGAUAACGUAGGGAAACUUACGCUAAUACCGCAUGCGACCCUGAGUCGACGGACUGGGGGUGAAAGUGAGGGACCUUCGGGCCUCACGCGACCAGAUGAGCCGAUGUCGGAUUAGCUAGUUGGCGGGGUAACGGCCCGCCAAGGCGACGAUCCGUAGCUGGUCUGAGAGGAUGAUCAGCCACACUGGGACUGAGACACGGCCCAGACUCCUACGGGAGGCAGC
rnacentral:rRNA from 1 species